GCUGGGUGUGGUGGUGCAUGCCUGUAAUCCCAACUACUUGGAGGCUGAGGCAUGAGAAUUGCUUGAACCCAGGAGGUUGCAGUUAGCCGAGAUUGUGCCACUGCACUCCAGCCUGGGUGACAGAGCGAGACUCUGUCUCAA
rnacentral:SRP_RNA from 1 species